rnacentral:misc_RNA from 1 species
GAUGAAGAACGCAGCGAAAUGCGAUACGUAAUGUGAAUUGCAGAUUUCAGUGAAUCAUCGAAUCUUUGAACGCACAUUGCGCCCGCUAGUAUUCUGGCGGGCAUGCCUGUUCGCGCGUCAUUUCAACCAUCAAGCCCCCGGCUUGCGUUGGAGCCCUGCGGCUGCCGCAGGCUCCCAAAUCCAGUGGCGGGCUCGUCGUCGUACCGAGUGCAGUAAACAUCCUCGCUCAGGGAACGUGACGGGUUCUUGCCGUGAAACCCCCCACAUAUCAAGGUUGACCUCGGAUCAGGUAGGAAUACCCGCUGAACUUAAGCAUAUCAAUAAGCGGAGGA